rnacentral:tRNA from 1 species
GGGCCCAUAGCUCAGUUGGUUAGAGCACGAGACUCAUAAUCUCAUGGUCGGGGGUUCAAGUCCCUCUGGGCCUA